ACAAACCAGGCUCAGUUCUGGGAGUGGAUAAAGGAGCCAUUUUCUUGCUUUUCCUUAGGCCCCUACCUCAGCCACUUUGAGAAAACGUCCUGAAUAAAACUCAGGCACAGACCAUAUUUUAAAAAGUGGUUCCCUAGUCCUUGAACCCCAUCUGAUGCUCCAAGUGUGACAAUCCAGGACUGCUGGCAAGGCAGGAGGAGGGAUGGAGCUUUGUUGGACACAUCAGAAUGCAGGGGAAAGCCACCGAGGCCCUUCAAGGAGAAAGAAGUUGCCCGAGGUCACAGAAGUAGAAAAGAAUCGGGCCGCAGUUCAAUCCCAAGCUAGAGAGCUGGAUGACACCUCCAAGUCAAGGCAACAGACAUUUAUUAAGUAGCCACCACGUUCUAGACACUGUAUUGAAUUCUGAAGAUACAGAGAAAUGUAAAGAGCCCCGUCCCUAACUAUAUGGAAAAAUGGUCAAGAUCAUUAUUAAUUAGAGAAAUAUGAAGCAGAGACAUCUCCUACCUAUCAGAUUGGCUAAAAGACAACUAUUGGAGGGAGAUGGGAAAAAAUGGGAACAUGGGCAAACAGUUGGUAGAACUGUGAACUGGUCCAACCAUCUU
rnacentral:lncRNA from 1 species